GUGUUAUAUGAAAGGAGAGAAGGUUAGCACUCCCCUUGACAAGGAUGGAAGAGGUUCUAGUGGCCUACAACACACAUGUGGUUAAGGCAUUGUGUACUUAGUACAUUAUGUACACUAAGAUGA
ensembl:snRNA